GCAAUGGUGUCUUUAGACACCACCACUACUCUCUGAUCCAUUCUC
rfam:Picea glauca, whole genome shotgun sequence.